GCAGGAGCGCUCGGAGUUGUGGGGUACGGACCCCAGGCGGGGCAGGGAGUCCGAGGCGGGCUGCGGCGGGGCUCUCGGGCUGGCGGACUCGGGGGCUGAGGCGCCGUGCGCGUUGGGUGCCCGCGGCCGCAGAGGCCAGAACCGCUACUCCUCCAGGCCGGGGAGACGCGGCCGUGGAGCGUGAAACGCUUCUUGCAAGCGAGGAAACGGUGAGUUGGCCGACACCGCCGGCGGCCUCACCAUUCUGGUGGCCGCGCUGAGCUCCUGUCGCCUGGAGGCGGGUUGCGCCGCACGGGGUCAGCUCCCGCCGGCUCCCAGCUCACCUUCGAAGCUCCCACUUAGGCGCGCCCGGUGCGGCGUGUGCACAGCGCGGGGCGCCGCACACGGAAGCGUGUAGUUCUCCCUGGUCGCGCUUUUCUCCUCCUUUCCAUCCCCUCGCUGUUCUUGCAAACCUCUGUUCCUUCGGCCCCCUCCCACUGCGGGCCGCGGCCUGAACUCGGGUCUCCGCGUAGCCGGCCGCCGCCGCUGGGUCGCUGCCUGGCCCUCCCCCGCUCAGGCGCCGAGCGCUGUGCGAUCCGCCCUAACAUCUGUCCGUCCAACCAUUGGCGCAUCCAUCAGUGUCAAUGGGCUGCACAUUGCAGCGACAGCCCGCCACGCACAACACGGGCUAUGCGGAGUGCACGCAGCAACCAUACUGCCAUGUCGGGACACGCAAAAAGGCCCCCGGCCUGGCUUGGCACAGCCUGAAGGCCUAAUCUGUGUUCUUUCAGCCACAUGUACCCACCCCCACUUAAUAUCUGGACCCCCAAACAUGAAUAGUUUUGCAGACCAUUGUAGGGAUGGAAUUGAAGGAAGAGGGGCAGUGUCGCCCGAGUCAUUAUUUUCCACCAGGUUUUCUCUGCCCUUGUGUGGGCUGGGUGUGGCUAGGAGAGAAGGAAGGGAGACUUCCCAAAUCCGCACCAAGCACACUGCAGAACCGGAAGCUACCUGGAUGCAAGGGCUUAAACCCCCUUCACCUGGGCCUAGGAUGUGUUGUCGAGGUCGCUGGCCAGGUUUUAGCCAGGAGGUCUCGCGCUAAAACUUUUUGGCCCCGCCUGGCUGCUGUGUGUGACAUGGCCUGAUGGAGAGGAGCUGGAGAGCGGAGGAAAACGUGGAUCCCAGUGAGAACUAAGGGCCAGAUUUAGGGAGAAAUAGUGUCUGGAUGGCAGUAAGUCUGUAAUUCACAUUUUGUUUACAAAGGGAGAAAGGGCAGGGCUGUAGGUUUGAGAAGCCAGAGGUUUGCGCGGAGUUCCGUGUGCCCAUUCCCCGAGAGUGCCGCUCUUGGCUGUAGUUGUUUGUUCUACCUGAUUUUGCCUCUUGCCUUCAACUCCCCCAUAACCCCUCCCCAAAUGUCCAGAGGGCAAACAUAUGCGCAUACCUCCCUGAUCAAUCCAGCCAGACCAAAGGGCCUUCCCUGUCCUCCCCCUAAGAACUUAAUGGGAAGAGUGUACGGGGGACCUACUCUUGGGACAUCUGCAGGGCGGCUGUACCAGGCGUUUUACCUGACUUUAUUCUUACCGCAAAGAUUUCCGUCUCGGUACCUGGUGCCCCCUCAGAGUCCACUACACAAACGGGUAAAAUCCCGCGCGGCUAUUCAUUUCGCCAUUCGCGAGUAAGAAGGGGAAAAGGAGCCGCUUCUAGGAGAGCACUGAGGUAUGCUCGGUUCGGUUCCCGAGGAGGCCAGAAGCGGCCGCGGCGGCGCGGGCUGGAGCUCCCUCCUGCAGGGAGACACCGCGCUCUAGGGUGCGGGCUUCGCCGCCCACAUCCAGUGGUCGAACUGUUUUCACGCUAGACUAGAGGGCGGAAAAGUCUGCGCCCGCGGAGAAACUAGAAUUCUGUAGAAUGUACACUGUGUAGAAAUCUUUUCACCCCACUCUUCAGAGUUGCAGAUUAUCUUUGAAAAACAACAGGCUCUGGCCCUGCCAGCCCUAGUAACUUCUACCCGCCUGAGUCACUCUGAAAAGUAAGCCCCUAGGCCAGUGAGAUGUCCCCACCUUUGGGAGGUGCCGCCUUUCCGGGAACAUUAAAAAAAAAACCCUAAAAAUAGAAGGAGGAAAAAUGAGCAAAGGCGGUGGGACGACUCACCGAAACACCGAGGUGCAAAUGUCCAUUGGAGAAACUGGCAGUCGCAUGGCAGCCAGCUGGCUCACCCAAUAGCUGGGUGGUAACCUUGUGAUCCCCAAACAUCCCCCAGGGCCAUGAAGGCAGUGCUGACCCCCACGAUUGCACCUCAGGCCCGGUGGAAUCCCGCUCCUCCUCCAUAGUGGUGCUAUGUAAUCAGUAGAAAAUCAGUAGAAAAGCUCCCAAAUGAAGCUGCUUCAGGUCAGGGGUUAGAAAUCUGCCUCAGACUUUUUGAACUCAAGGAAAUCGGGACAUCUGUCCCCAGAGCUACCUGUGCCCCACCCCAGGAUCAUUCAUGACCUUAGCUACCGGGAGCUCUGCCCGGAUAAGUUUUUAAAAGAGAGAGAGAAAGAAAAAAGUCACAUGCAGGCAAGGCUAGGAACAGGUGUGUGCUGUGGGGACGGGCACUUGGCUCGCAACACACCACACAAAGUCACGAAGUCUGUGCCAGAAAGGAGUAGCCAAACCACCGCCGGGAGGCAGCCGAGGUUGUGUUUAAGGUGGCGAUUGAGGGCAGUAGGUGACAACUCGACCCAAAGAAGGCCAAGUCUUGUCCUUAUCUGGGGUGGCCACUGAGGGAAAAGACUUAAGGGAAAGAAGUUGUCUUCAAAGCUACCAUUACAAGAUGAGGAGCUAGAGUGGGCUCAGGUCCCAGGCACCCAGGGCUUAAGCCUUGAUGUUGGAGAGGUUCUCGGAGGGAGGCUUGGGCCACCUGGAGGGACUGGGCACUCUGAGUAGUACCCUCUGGGAGGCUGUACCCCCUUUCAAAGUGUGAGGGCAUUUGCCCAAGGUGUAGGCUUUUAGGGAGCCCAGGGCUGGGCAGCACCAGGGGAGAGAGGCACCAGGUGGGUGCCCUCCUGCCUGCACUCACCUGGAAUGCUGGCAUAUGGGUUUUUCGCCUUCCUCACGCCUCCCCACACCACAUUCUGGGCUAGGCAGUGUCGAGGAGGUGCCUUGGGUUCAGGGAAGCUUGCCACCUGCACACCUGAACCAGGAAUUGGGCCCCGGAAUCUCAGCCCCUGCCCAAGCAGGAAGGAUAGGGACCCUGGCCCUCGCCAGGUGGUAAAUUGUUUGCUAAAAGUGCAUUUACACGGCGGCGAAGUUUGUUUCUCUUUUACCGGUAGCUUUGUUUUAACGAACCAGAUGUUUUGUCUGUAAAUUCUCCCAAGAACUUUUCCAGUUUUGACGUGAAAUAAACCUUCGAAAAUCAGAAGAGUAUAUUAAUACCACUUCUGUGGGGCCUCAGGAGAGCUGAGUCAGGUGUGCCUGGAUGGGAGCUGGGGGUGGGAGUACAAUCUUUGGAGAGAAGUAGGGGGCUUCUCUUGGCCCAAGGUCAAGAAUUGGUUUGGGGGAGGUGAAGUGCCUCCCCGACUCCCAAAACAGGCGCACACACACGCAUUGUCACACCAGAGUACGCACUCCCAGCCCUCCUCCAACCAGGCAUAGCUUGCUACUUCGUAAAUUUCUUGUGGCUUGGGGCACAGAGAUGUAGCUCAACUUUGCAGACUGUGUCCACUGCAUGCCGCUGCCGUUUUCCACGAGGACCGCCUGACUGAAAGGCAAAGGGGCCUUCGAUCUUCUUCCCGGGGCAGCUUUGAUGCCUGAGUGUGCGGGGCCGGGGCCGGGGCCAGGGCAGAGCAGGGUGGAAGCUGGUGCCCCUGUCUGGCCCACCCUUAACUCCUGGGCACCACUCGAUUCGGGAGAACUUGGGGUGGAAGCCGACCUGGUCUAGGAAGCCACAGCCUGCAGGUCCCCCUCUCCAAUGCCUCAUUUUUUCCGAUUUAGGAUUUCCAGGCAGUUAUAAACACCUUAAAAAAAAAGACCCACUUAACAAUACACCUAAAAGAGGGAGGGAAGGAAGGAAGGAGUACGGUUAUCACAGGCGUGUGGGGAGAGGGAAACCAGGUCUGCCUAGAAACCCACCUUCUGGUCCUGUGAGUCAUAGCGGCCACUUUCUCGGGUUUCCCAAGACAGGAGAUGGCGAUUUUCUGCUCCCUCCCCUCUCCCCAAGCUUUCCAGUGCUCUGAGUCUCACAUCUUCAGAUACCUCUUUCUUCCUUCAUUCUCUUUCGUUCAAUCAUCUACGGAACUUUCAAAAACUUUUUUUUUAGGAGAGCGAAGAUUAAAUAAAGAAAAUAAAACGUCUUUGUAUUUCAGUCUAAGGAGGACAGAUGCACAUUAAACUCAGUUUGGAGCGCUUAACUCCAGGCGAAAUGCCCUUUUAUCAAAUCCCACGCGUCGACUUGGGUUGCGCUGGGAAUUUCACGAAUUCCUCGCUGCAGCGUGGCGUGGUUUACCCCCACCCCCACCGCCACCCCACUUUGGGUGAAAUGGAUUUUUGGAAACCAUUUAAGCAGAGCUAAAAAUAAGGGUGGGGGGAUCCCUACACUAGAGAUAGCUGCAGCCACCUAGGGGCUCACCCCUGGUCGGGAGCGAGCAGCUAUUUGCUAGUUGUAGCUCAGGGGUGCCCAACUCUUCCCGUGUGGUUGCGCCAGCUGCCCCGCACUGCAGGUAUCUGAAUCAUUACGUGGGCAACCUGAUGCGGCUCUGAACCCCAGCUCUUUGAAUGCUGGAAUCCUGAAGGAGGAGGAUUCCACCAGGUCUUAGCCGACCAGAUAGCCCAGCUUUCUGAGGCUGGUGACCUCAUUAACUGGCCAGGGAAUUUGCAAGACCAGGAAUAAUCACGUUUCCCAGUUCUUCUUUCCUACAUUGCUUUUCUCCUCUGUCUUCAACGUUAGGGUUUUGUGUUUGUCCCUAAAUUUACAAUUUACAAACGGGGAAGACGGAGCCUAAGUUUCUGCAGGGCAGGUACAAAAGAGAGGGACAACACUCUGGGGGCCUCAUUCUUUCACGUUUUUGUUUCUUGAAAUUUGAUGGAUAUCACCUUAGUUCGGCAAUAGGAGGGCCAGGGUGACUGGGGACAUGGUGGCCCGAAGGGUUAGAUAAUAUAGCAUGCAGGUAGUCUCUGAUCUCCAGGGCUUUGAUAACACCAAGAUUUUCCUCCUUUGCAGAGCAGUCCUAAAUUCUGCCUUCUCCCUUUUCUGCCGCCUCUUCUCUUUUCCCCAUUUCUUUCUUCGUUUCUUUUUCUGUUUUCUUUUUGUGUGCCUCUCUUCCAACAGUCCCUCCUCCACCUUUAUAAGACUUCUCAAAGGUUAUUUAUUUAAGGUCUACCAAGUGCUAGCCCCAAACAGGUCCAGUCCUUCUACCUGUGGCAAGACGGAGGCUGUUACCGCGUGCAAAUAGUGAGGGAACAAAGUAGUUUGGAGUUUUUUGCAGCUUUUUUAGGUGAGGGGAAGGGAGGGAGGUCAGAAAUAGGUUGACACUUGGUUUGAAAUAAAAGAGCAUGUUAAGAAGUUUCGAAGCUGCCAAUAAAACCCUUUAAGUGGCUUGUGAUUCAGUGCCUGGAGUUGCGGGGAUGGCAUUGGUAAAUGACUCUAAUGCCCAAAGAAAAAUAUUACAAAUGCCGCUGUCUCGGCCACCAAUCGGGCGCCGCUUUCCUGCGCGGGCGAUGGCUCCUCUCUGGCGCGGAGGGCACCCACAUUUGCAUGAUAAAUUGACCAGACUGGCGGCAGCCAAUGAAAUAUUCAAAUUAGGCUGGGUGGCGGUAGUAGGGGUGGAGUCCCUGGGGCUGCCCCUUGGCGCGGCGGCGGGAGCGGGCGCUACCACCUCUCCGUCAGCGCCCUCUGGAGGCGGGACAGCGCGGGCGGCCGCUCUGGCCCAAAAGACGAGAUGGGGGGUUGGGGGUUUGGGAUGCAAGGGGGUUUGGGAGGGGUGAUGGUGGGGUCUGGGUGGUGCUUCGCGGCCCCAGGAGGCUUUCCGGCUGGCCUCGUUGACUAGGCGUACAGCAGCGUCUCCGCAUGCCUCUUGCCCUUAAAAGUGUUGAUGGAUUGCAGAAGUGGAUGGUGACCCCAAGGAGGGGUUUCAGAAAGGCUCCAGCCUCCUUCGCCCAACCACCUUCUCUAGGUUCCCCUAACAAACCCAUCACUUAAGUUAAAAACGUGUAUUUGCUCUUGUUGACUUAGCUUUAAGACAAGAUUCUUGCCCACCGCAGACCACAUGGCCAGCUUUCCCAAAGGCCCUCUGAUAAUGAAAUGGUGGAGCAGAUAUAUCAAACUUUCCAUCUUGCCCUGAGCCAACGACCCUGCACCCUCACAGGCCAGGGCACUCUGGAGGGCACCCUGCCUGGAGCCCCAAACCUUGGGUAAGCUGUGGGAGCCUAGGCAGGGGCAGGCAGUGCCUGGAGGCUGGCUUCAGACGGCAGAACUUCUCACCUGGGAAAAUGCUUUCUGGAAGAAGCACCCAGGCCUCAAGGCAGCUCCAGUGAGGGGGCAAAAAGGGAUAUACAUAAGGCAUAAGGCGCUGGCCAUGGUUAGGUAGGUGCUCAGCCAGGAAGAUAGGGCAGAUUCACAUGGGGGAGAUUGGCUCGGUGAUGAGACCACUUCUGACUCCACCAGAACCAGGCCCAGCUCUUCCUGGAGGUCCUGACUCAACGGGGACUUUUGCAUGGGAGCCAAAGAACAGUGGAUGUCUCUUGUCCGCUGAUCAUCUCUUCCCUUCCCCCACCCCAUAUUCCAUCCCAUGCCAGAUCCCUAGGCUGUGCCUGUUAGAGCUACUGUAGCACCACAUGGACUUGCCUUUAAAGCAGAAUUUUUAGAAGUGCAGUUGCUUUUCUUUACUCUGCUGUGGGAUGCUGAACACCUUGUUCUUUCUCCAGCUCAGCAGGGCUUGGAGUUGGUUCCUAGCUAUCUCUGGGAAUGCUCGAUCCCCAUCUCUGUUACCAGCCAAAAGGGUCUGCGGGAGGUGGUCGGCACUCCAGUCAGCAGCCCUCUCAGUACCUCUUCCCCAGACAUAGUCAAAGCAAGUCAUUCAUCUGCAGCCAGUCUCCCCUGCCCAUUCACCAAGGAGAACCUGGGGAUAGGACCACUCAGAGCCUGGCCCAGGCUGGCUCACUAACUGUGUGUAAAUACACACAGCGGAAAGAGUAGGUGCUGAACACACAUGUGUGAGAGAGUGAAUUUUUACUCUCAAUCACCUUAUAUAUAUUAUCAAUAGUUUCAAAGUAUGUUGCCCAAAGGAUGUUAAUUCCUAAGAAGGCUUUUAUAUCGUUUGGAGUUUUGAGGAGUGUGUUGGCUGAAGAGAAGAGGGUCUGGCCCCAGUCUUGAUGGGAAUGCAUGGGGUAAACAGCUGGUGGCAGAGGUACAAAAGGGGCCUCUCUACUUUCUAAGAGAAUCUUCCAUCCUGGCUGAUUUUAGGACCUGGGGUGGGGUUCCCAUCAGGAGGAGGCCUAAGGAAGGAGUAGGACCCUUCCUAGAUGGCUGAGUCAACUUAUACGACAGGGCAGGGAAACCUAUCUUGGAAACCCGGGAGCCCUCCUUCCUCCUCCCCAUCCUCAGGCCUCACCUGAGACUUGAAAAUGGACCAGAGUCUUCCUCCAACAGUGAAAUUCGUUAAAGAGUCACUCCUGUCUAGAAUGUGCAGAAAUGCAAGCCUCUCUCUUUCUCUCUCUCUCUCUUUCUCCACCUUGAGGAUGCUGUAUCUAGAGCCCAUAUAGGGACAAGAAGGUAAGCAGUGAAAGCAGGAAAGAAGUAGAAGGCUGGCUGUCAUCCAGCUGUGCAUACAGUCCUAUCUCAGCUGAACUGUGCACGGUGAAUGAGGAAGUAAAUGACAGGUGAAGGACCAAGAGAGUGAAGCUAGUCAGUUUAUCUGAGGAGAUAGGUAUCAGUGAGUAACUGUAAGGAUCACACCCACAGUGGGUGUGCCCCGCAGAUGGAUAUAUGUGCAGCAAGCGGUACCUUGCGGGGGAAUGCAAGCUCCAACUGUGGUGCUGAGCCUCUGGCCCAUAAGUAACCCAGUGAGCCUGAGCAGGUCACUCCCUCUCUUUGAACCUUGUCUCCAUCUCUAAAACAGGACAGCUUUCUCCAUCUUAAACACCAAGUAGGAAUUCAUUGUGGAAACCUUCCAUCAAAAUUGGAGAUGCCUUGGAUGGACCCUGUGGUGGCUCAUGCCUGUAAUCCCAGCACUUUGGGAGGCUGCGGCAGGCAGAUCACUUGAGUCCAGGAGUUUGAGACCAGCCUGGGUGACAUGACAAAACCCUCUCUCCACAAAAAAUACAAAAAUUAGCUGGGCAUGGUGGCAUGCACCUGUAAUCUCAGCUACUUGGGAGGCUGAGGCAGGAGGAUCGCUUGAGCCUGGGAGGUUGAGGCUGUAGUGAGCCGAGAUAGUGCCACUGCACUCCAGUCUGGGCAACAGAGUGAGACCCUGUCUCAAAAAAACAAAAAAUAGAGAAAUAGAGAUGCCCCUUGAACCCAUGGGUUUUUGGGACUACAUUCUGGAAGCUUUCAGAGUCAGACCAGAGUUUGAAAGAGGCAUUGUGUCACUAGCCGUGUGCCCGUGGGCAAGUCACAGUAGAGUCUACUUCCCACGGCACUUGUGAGACUCAUCUGGGAUUAUGUGUGUCCAUGCCUUGGCAGAGAGCUUGGUGAAGAAUGUUAGUUGUCCAAUAAAUGGUACCCCAUUAAGUUGGUGUGCAGGGUGGCCACAGGGCCAGACCACCCUGAAAAUAAAGGCUUAUAUUUGGGCUGAGCCUGGAUGCACCUGAGAUUACAAGCAGGUGCUUAGAAUGUGGUGAAAAAGAAAGACAGGAGAGAAUGGCUGAAGGCAGCAUGCAGUCCACCUGACUUUCUGGGAAGAUUGGGCAUUUGCAGGGCUGAUAAGUCAGGUUCUUCCGGGCCUUUCUGUGAGCUCAUUAGAGGAAGGGGUCUGGUGACUGAUAUUUCUAUUUUCCCUGUUAGUAGCGACUGGAAUUUGCACCAUCCAGGUCAGAUGGAAAAUAGAAGGCGGGAAAAUCUGACAGUCUCAUUGAUUUGCUCUCUUUGCCAUCACCACUCUUGAGAGGAAGAAAUGUGACUUCAAACUUGCAAUUAGGAACCAGCCUGCUAAGGAGUCCUCUCGUGAGCUCCUGUGCUAUGCGGAGCACAGGCCCAUCUCAUCUCAUUUCCUAAGGAGGUAGGUUCAUUCAUGGUUUCAGCAGGAGCAGGCAGUGCAAACGUGUGACACCCGCCCGCAAAUAACUGCCAGAAAGGCCGUCCAAUGCUUCCUUCACAUUUUUGGUCAGAUCUCUGAAAAGAUGGCCAUUCUCCCAAUGUUUUAAAAGUAUUAACUUCCUUUCAAACAUCCUUUAACCUUUAAUGUUUUGUAACUUGAUGAAAAGGUCAUUUUGUGCUGAGGAUGCAGUUGUUCCGGAAUUGUUCAGCUAACGGGGUGAAUUCCAACCAAAUCCAGAAUUAUUUAAUGGGAUCCAACGCCCCGGCCACACGCACAAUAAGUGAAUAUUUUCCCAUAUAUGUCUGUGUACAGGUACAUGUACUUGUGCAUAUGUAUUUACAUAUUUGUAUCUAUGCAUGCACAUAUACUCAUUGGGACUUGGAUUCAAUGGACAUUUUUAGCCUUCUCACAAAAUGACUUAUCCUUUGCAGGAAAAUAGAUAUUAAACUUACUCUUUUGAACACAUUUUGCUAAAUAUUUGAUGGCAAUUAUUUAUGGUGCACUGUACUUAUUCCUGAUUUCUUACAGAAGGGGUUGGGUCAAUUUCUAAUUCAACAUUUCAUUGCUGUCUCUACAAUAAAUGCCUCCAGAAGCUUAGGAGAAUUGAGAGGUUUUUUUCCUCUCUCUUCUUUCACAGUGUGAGCUUUUUAACUGUCACUGGCUAGAGCAGUCCUUCUUCACUUUUACCUUCCUUAGCUGAUGUAUUCUUGGAAACAGAUGGCUGAGCAUGUUAGAUUUAUAUUUAAAAUAAGAGUAGAGUUAAUAGGCUCAAAUAAGAGCAGGAAGGUAUUUUCUACAAGGAAACUGCAUGAAGUUUAUGCCUGGACUCUGGAAGAUGUGUUAAUACUUUUACUUAUUCAAGAGGCAUUGGGUUGUGGUCUGCUAUGUUUCUUGCUCUGAUGACUGAGUUUUUAAGAUAAAGGCUCUCCGGGCAAAUAAGGAACAGUUGGAUAGAGUAGCUCACCUUAAGUCUCUAUAGACUCAUGUAGAGAACAAAUCUGAUCUAAACUGUGUAAAAAAAUGAGUAAGAGAACUCUAUAAGAUUAACACUCUUAUUAAACUUAAAAGAGAAAAUUGGUACUUUUUUUUUUUUUCUUAGACAGAGACUUGCUCUGCUGCUCAGGGUGAAGCACAGUGGCACAAUGUCGGCUCACUGCACUCACCUCUGCCUCCUGGGUUCAAGCGUUUCUUCUGCCUCAGCUUCCCGAAUAGCUGGGAUUGCAGGCAUGCACCACCACACCCAGCUAAUUUUUGUACUUUUAGUACAGACAGGGUUUCAACAGGUUGGCCAGGAUGGUCUCGAACUCCUAACUUCAAGUGAUCCACCUGCCUCAGCUUCCCAAAGUUCUGGGAUUACAGGGCACCAAAAAUUGGCACUUUUAAAAGGAGACAAGUUUUACUUAAAAGCAAAAGCCUUUAACAGGCCUUUGGCUGGAUUAAAUGAUAAUGAAGCGAAGCAAAGCUUGUGACCACUCUGUAGAGCCAUCCAGAUAGUCUCUCUUUGGGGCCAGAUCCUCUAGAAUGCAUGAUUUAGGGUCAUUCAUUGCACAUUCCUGGCUUCAGACUGGUUUUCUGAAUUUCCCUGCAAUCUGAUUUUUGUCUUCCUACAUUUCUGUGUGUGAGAUACAUCAAAAGGUAAAAGAAUGUGUGAAUCAUAUAGGUACGGUUUAAAUAAUACCUGCAUACACAACACUCAGUCACCUGAAACCCCCCGACACCUCCCAAUUCCAGUCCCCUCUCCUGGAGGCCACCUCUAUUUUUAAUUUUUGUAAUGAUCACUUCCUUGCCUUACUUUGUAGUUUUAAUAUUUAGAUGUGUAUACCUGGUCAUGUUCAUAAAUGAAAUCAUGUUGUAUGAAUUAUUUUGUGUCUUGUUUCUCUUACUCAGCAUUGUUUUUCGGACUUAACCAUGUGGAUUUGUGUUGCUGGUUCAUGGUCAAGGUUCUAGACUAUGAAAACAUUAGUUUCAUGAAAACAUUAGGAUUUUUUCCCCCCAAUUGUUUGGAUAUCAUGAAGAAUGCCGCUGCGAACAUGUUUGUUCCUAUGCCAUAACUCACAUGGGGAAUAUCUCCUAUUUAUAUAUAGUUAGGGGUGGGAUUGCUUGGUCAGAGUUUGCAUAUCUGCAGCUCUAACUGUUUUCCAAGAUGAUUGUGUCAAUUUUCACUCCCACAAGCAGUUUUUAAAGUUCCCAUUGUUCUACAUCCUUGCCAGCCUAUGAUAUUGUUAGCAAUGUUUCUUCGUAUUUGUAAUGUUUCCUAAUCUAGCGGCUGUGGUUGCUGUCUCACUGUGUUUAAUUUGCAUUUCCAUGAUUACUAAUGAGUUUGAGCACCUUUUUUAUAUCUGCGUGGUGAUCGGGAAUGCCUUAUUUGUGAGAUGCCUGUUCAAGUCCUGCCAUUAUCCGUUGCAUAUAUGUUUCACAUUAUUUCACCCAAGUUCUCUGUUGCCCAGGUUUGUUUCAGAUUGGUUUGGGACAGUGGAUCAGAUCAGAAAUGUUUCAGUGACAUCUCUCACUAUAUUUCCUAGGAUGCUUUUAUCUGUGAGAAAUACGACCCCCUGCUCACACUGGCUUAAGGAAAUUGGCAAGAGGUAGAUUAUGGCUCCAUUAUAUUAACAGGAAGCCAGUUUGCUCUGCCUUCUUACUCUUCGCUUCGUUUUCGGCAUAAUCUCAUCCUCAAGGUGUUUUAUCUUAUGAUUUCAAGAGGACCACAAAUGGCGAGUGGAACUAAUUGCUUCUUUGUCCACAUUCCACAAGGAAGAGAAUAAUAGAAAACUUUUCAUUGACCCAUGUAAUCUAAGUCAUACCCUUCAGUUUCCAGGGGCCACGUCCAUGAAGCAGGAGGCAUCUGCAGUGAAUGCCAUGCCCUGACGCCUUACUGAGCACUCCUAGUAGGACAAAAUGAGUACUGUAUGGGGAGGAGGCAACCUCAAACAACCACCAUGCUUACUGCCAAGCCUAUAGGAUAUUUUUAAAUUCAUUUUUUAAUUUGCAUAUAAUAAAAUGCAUUUUUUUGGGAUGCAGUUUUCUGAGUUUUGCCAAAUGCACAAAAUCACAUAACUACCACUGCCAUCAAGAUUUGGAACAGUGGCUAGGUGUGGUGGUGGCUUACACCUGUAAUCCCAGCACAUUGGGAGGCUGAGGCAGGAGCAUCGCUUGAGCCCAGGACUUCAAGAUCAGCUUGAGCAACAUAGUGAGACCCCAUCUUUACAAAAAACUUUUUAAAAAUUAGCUGGGCAUGGUGGCAUGUGCCUGUAGCCCCAGCUACUUGGAAGGCUAAGGCAGGAGGAUCACUUGAACCUGGGAGGUUGAGGCUGCAGUGUGCUGUGAUUGCACCGCUGUACUCCAGCCUGGGUGACAGAGGAAAACCCCAUCUCAAAAAUUUUUUUUAAAAGAUUUAGAGUCGUUUUCUUUUUUUUCUUUUUUUUUUUUGGACAGAGUUUGGCUCUUGUCGCCGGGGCUGGAAUGCAAUAGUACAAUCUUGGCUCACUGCAACCUCCACCUCCCAGGUUCAAGUGAUUCUUCUGCCUCAGCCUCCCGAGUGGCUGGGACUACAGGUGCCCAGCACCACACCUGGCUUUUUUUUUUUUUUUUUUUUUUUUUUUUUUUUUUUUUUUUAGUAGAGGCAGGGUUUCACCAUGUUGACAGGCUGGUCUCGAACUCCUAACCUCAGGUGAUCCACCCUUUUUGACCUCCCAAAGUGCUGUGAUUAUAGGCAUGAGCCACCGUGCCUGGCCUAGAAUAGUUUUCUUACUCCCCCAAAACUGCUUUAUGCUGCCUUUUUGUAGUCAAACUAUCUGCCUGCCCUUAACCCCAGCUCCCCCGCAUUAGAAACCACUGAACCUCUGAUCUGUUCUUCACCUUAAAGCUUUCCCUUUUCCAGGGUGUAGCGUAUGUGGAAUUAUAGAGUAUGUCACCUUUCAAGUCUGGCUUCUUUCAUCUAGUGUAAUGCAUUUGAGAUUUAUCUAUGUUGUCGGAUGUAUCAGUAAGUUUGUGUCUUAGCAGUGCUGAGAAGUAUUCCUUUGCAUGGAUGUACCCAGAUCUGUUUAUCCAUUCAUCAGUUAGAGGACAACUGGGUUGUUUCCAGUUUGGGGUGAUUACAAAUAAAGCCACGAUGUACAAGCACCUCUAGGUUUUGGGUGAACAUAAGUUUUCAUUUCUCUUAAGUUUCAAUACCUAGGAGAAUGAUUGCUAGGUCAAUGGUAAGAGCGUGUAUAAUGCUACAAGAAAGUGCUAAACUGUUUUCCAAAGUGAGUGUAGCAUUUUGUAUCCCCGCUAGCAAUGAAAUGAGAGCUCCGCUUGCUCUGUAAGAGGCAUUAGUGAAUAUGAAAGUGCUUUGUAAAGACUAAGGGUGUCUCACAGUGUGCCCAGGCGGGAGGAUUCAGAGGGGGCAUUUCUAAACUCUAAACUCCUGUGGGCUCCUAGCCCAUCCUUCUGAAUGGGGACAGAAUACUUCCAUUUCCAGGUUACUUGCUUCUCCAAAAGGGAGACAGGGAAGUAUCCUUCUCUUUUUGCAAAUGAGGGCACAGCACUGCCUCUCGUGGUUGAGCCAGUCAUUAUUCAGUAGGAACAGCAGUGAGAUUCUCCAGCCUUCUAUUUUAUUCCUGGGGUCACAGAGUAAAAUGCAGCGUGAUCAUUUGGAGCAUUCUUAUGCUUUGUGACAAGAACAAAGCCAGUGGAAACAGCCAUGUGUCCAAUCAGAAUGUCAGAGCUGGCAGGGACCUUAGCAAUUGUCACUUUACAGAUGAUAACCUAUUACAUCCCCAGGUCCCCAGAAUCCCAGCCCAGGACUCACUCCCUCAGCCUUCCUGGAUUGUCCUGGGUGGAACAAGAUCAGCUCAUUUAGCACAUAGUCUUCCAGAACACAAGGCAGUGUCCCACCAAGGUUGGAUGGGACCAGCUUCUCUAUCCACAGUAGCUGUGCACACAGAGACAGAAAUGAAGCCGUACUGCCGGGUGCACCGUGGCCAGAGAUCCUCCUUCCUGGUAUAUACUCCCGGAGCCAUUGCUUCUUUCAUUUCAGUGCCCAUUUCUGAGGCACCUUCACAUUUCAAACGUCCUGAGAAUAUGUUUAAUUAGAACUUGGCCAUACAGCCUUUUAAAACAAAACAGAAGGGACCAGCUAAUUAUAUCACUCAGCAUUCUGUGGCAAACAUAUAUUUUUUAAUAAAACACUUUCCUAACCAGAGUAAUCCCUGGAGAUGCAAAUCCUCAUUUAUAAGAAGUUUCCCAAAGGGAGUUAAAGAGAAGAUGCCUUAUAAAGAAAAGAGACAAAGAGAGUGGGGAAGUGUUUUCAAAGAGCUUUUAAAAGAUACACUCAUUCUGAGGUUGAAUUACAGAUAUUUUAAGGGUACCAAAUUUUAUUUCAGAUGUAAUCCUUUCCUGUGUUUUUGAUCAUGUAUUUCCGUUUUUUCCCUUUUUGAUCAUUGCCACAAAUGCCCAUAUUUCUCUUUCUGGUGUCUUUCAUAAGUGCAAUAUUUAAAUAAACAAGGGAUUUUCCCAAAAUGCACCUCAUCUCCUACUCUUUGUCAUUUCCUUGUCUUGCUCUGUAAAUAACCGUGUGUCUCACAGCAGAGCUUACACAGAAUGGAUGUGGGGCAGUCUGUGGUCCUGGGGAGGGCCUUCCCUGUAAUCUCUGCAGCCCAGGACAGGGAGAGGGAAGAUUUAGAUCCUGCUGCGGCAUGUCUUCAGGAGUGGAGGUCAGCUUGGGACAUUUACGUUCAUGAGGCAGCCGCAGAGGGUCAGAGCAAUAAUUGUGCCAGCUGAUGUUUGCUGCGGGGUUUACUCCAAGCCAGGCCACACGCUAAGAAAUUAGGUAUCGUACCUCAUUUAAUCCUCACAAUCCUCACAAAAUGUAGUUGUUUUGCUCCAUUUUGCAGAUGAAGAAGACGAGGCUUGAGAGACGAAGGAAUGAAUGAAGGGUCUCACAGCUGUUAGAAGGGUUAGAUCUUGUAUUUGGACUCAGGUCUGCCUGCCCUGGAACUUGACUCUCCCACACCUGGUGCUGGGCACACUAGGAGACGUCACAAGGCUCAGAGAUGCCACCCUUCCUAGAACGGGCGCCGUGCCUCUCUUCUCCACACACUGCAGGGGAGACAGGCACUGUGUUUUCAGAUAAGUUCCAUGUGCAUCAGGGGCUCGGUGGGAAAGGGAGGACACACUCAGAUUAGGAUUAUUCAUGGAGGAUUCUCCAAAGAGGCUAUUUGGAAAGACGGAGGGAAUGGUGAAGGAAAGCACAAGAGAAAAUGGACAGAACCGUUACUUCCUCACGCCUGAAGGGGAUGGGUUACUGGAAGCCAGGAGGAGAGUGUGAUAAGAGCCACUUUUAGAGGAGCUUUCACCUUCAGGAGAAAGUCAGGGCCCAAGAAGACCCACAGGGAGGUGACCAGGGAAUGGCAUACUUGGACUACCCUCUCUUCUGUUCCUCCACUCUCCUGCCAGGGCUCCACAUUGGAUAAACCCCUGCAGGGGCGAGUGAAACUGCCACCCAGGUUUGCCUCCCAGGGCACAGCCCAUGGAGAGCUCUAAGGCAAGUGGCAGAAAACUAGCACAGGUGCAGUGCGUCUUGCAAAGCACCCAGCCUAUGCCGGCCCUGGGCUAGAAAUGGGAAGAGAGGAGACCAUGGCACUGCCCUCAAAGAUCUUAGAGUCUGUGGAGGAGUCAGGCAGAGAGAGGGGGUGUUCCCUUGGCAAAGGACUCCAUGAGCAGAUGCAGGCCAUGGGCGACGCUCCUGCAGAAGCUUUGGGGUUUGCCGCAUGUGCCUGGAAGGAGCGCGCCCACCUUGACAUGCCUCGCCUCCUGUUGCCAUUGACAACGUGAAGGCAAACUCCUGGGGCUGGGCCUUUUUCCUUGAGAUAAAAUAUGUAUAAUUCUCUGUUAUCAAAUGAUUAUUAAACAAAAUCUAAUUGAAAAAAUAGAAAGAAGAAAAGAUAAGUCAUUUAUCAUCCUGUUCUCCAAAGACAACUGUGAACAGCUUGGUGGAACUCCUUCCAGUGGCUUUCCUUGGAGCUUUGCCUCUGUGGAUGUGGAAAACCUUAAGACCUUUGUUGGACCAACUGGGGAAGAAUUUCUUUCCUGCUCAGGCUGCUCAGCUGAUAGAGUGCUGGCCUGGAGCAGCUGAAAGACACUUUGCUGCUUUCUGGAGAAUGAAGCCACUGGGAAACCACAUAGGAGGGAAGAGAGAGACAGCUUCUCGAUGAUGUCAUCUGAACACCUGGAUCCUGCUGUGCCUGGACUUGCAGUCCCAUUGUCUACCAAUAUAGUUCAUUGAAUUCAACUUCAGCUGGAUGUCAUUCAUCUGCUUCCAGAACUUGUGUCUAAUGCAGAGCUGAAUGCAUACUCUCAGAGUUGGAAGUGGAUGCAAUCCACAAAUCUAGCACCCAAAUUUCUUUUUUCUGUUCUUUUUUUUUUUUAAUUUGAGAUGGAGUCUUGCUCUGUCACCCAGGCUGAAGUGUAGUGGCGCAAUCUCAGCUCACUGCAACCUCUGCCUCCCAGAUUCAAGCGAUCCUUCUGCCUCAGCCUCCCGAGUAGCUGGAAUUACAGGCGUGUGCCACCACGGCUGGCCUAAUUUUGGUAUUUUUAGUAGAGAUGGGGUUUCACCAUGUUGGCCAGGCUGAUAUCGAACUCCUGGCCUCAAGUGAUCUACCCCCCUUGGCCUCCCAAAGUGCUGGGAUUACAGGUGUGAACCACCAUGCCCGGCCUCAAAUUGCUUUUACAGAGGCAAGUGGCCACCGAGUCUGUGAUUGGGAUCCUCCUGUGGAGACCUGUGGAGACUCGUGGCUCACUACCUUUGAAGGCAGUGUUAGGGUAAUCUCUCCACAUUUCCCUGCUGAAAGCUCUGAGUGUUAGUAAAUUCCUUCUCAUAUUAGCUAAAAUGUAUUUUCCUGUGCCUUUUAUUCACUGAUGGGGAAUACAAGCAUUCUUUUUGAGGGUGGCCAAUGCUAGUAAUUCCCUCCAUACAGUCAGUGAUGGAUAGAGUUAACCCAUGGUUGCUGCAUGUAGUACUGUCACUUGCUGUACCACCAGGACUCAAGUUGAUGCUCAACGCAACAUUCUUUUGCAGGGCCCUUGUCCUCAGUUUCCCUUCUUUUGGGGUGGGCUGAGAGAGACAGCUUAUUCAGCAUGAAGCUGUAGUAUCUACAGUUUAGCAAAUGUCUGCGGAGCCUUUAAAGCAGUUUUUAUCAUAAUAAAAAUAUUUUAACUUAUAACCCCAGAAAGAGAUAGGCAUGGGAGUCUUUAUACAGCACAGAAAUCCAGAUGAGCAUAAUUUGAAAGUCAUUUGAAUUGUAAUGAGUAUUUUUAAUGUAAACAGGCAGGAGGAAAAACUUGCUGGGUUCUCUUGUAGCACAGACACCCAGAUAUAUGUCUUUUGAUAGUGAUAUUAAAGUGUCAAGGGUGCAUAGGAGGCUGCAGAUGUCAGCGGCAUGAAUGGGCAAGGCAAUUUCUGUGGUUGCAGGCUGGAGGUUCCAGCAGGAAUAGAAAGGCAAUCUCUGUGCUAGAUGGCCCAGGGUCACUGCAAGUCUAGCUCCUAAAUGAAAAUCAGGGACAAGAUGUGGCCUGUAACCACAGUCACUGCUCUUCGUAAGGCUGGUGGAAAGGUGAACUGGAAAGGUUUUUAGGGUUAGGGAGAUACAGGAACUCCCAAACAUCAGGCACCUGAUAGCACUCUCCACCUAACAUCUGCAUUUAUAUUGACCUAAUGCAUCUGUUCAAUUUGUCUCAUUCUUUGUGCUCACACACAUUUAUUUGAAACAAAACUUUCCAUCAUUACUAUAGGUGAAAAUCCUUGAUCACUUGCCUUGAAUACAAGAAACCAUUAUUAAAUGCAAGCUAGAUAAUUUUGCUUGUCUUACAGCCAUGAGCCUUAAGUCUGUUCCCCCCACCCCCCCCCCCCCCCGCCUUUUUUUUUUGUUAAAAAGAUGAGCAAAAUGUGAGAAUGAUGCAAAAGAGAUCCUGGU
rnacentral:lncRNA from 1 species